UGGCGACAGAUGUUAGCUCAGGUGCCGAUCUAAAAAGAACAAAGCAAAAACCAAUGAGUACCUAGGUACACACAGAAGAUCACUGCUACAUCACUGAAGAUCAGUGCUACAAGGAUUCAGCAUACACCCCCAGAGAGAAAGCCAGCUUGAGAGUUGGCUAGCUGGCAGUGCUUUUUCCUGACAGAAGACUGGAGGAAGGAAGAAGUUUUGGGCUGGGAACCGAGAGUUCAGUUCUGAGCAAGUUAAAUUUGAGAUGCCCGUGAGACACCCAGCAGAAAUGUCAAGCGGGUAGUUGGAUACAUGAGUCUGGAGCUCAGGGAUACGGUCCAGGAUAGAGAUAUAAAUUUGGGAAUUAGGAGAGUACAGAAGAUAUUUAAAGCCUGAGUCUGGAAGAGCUCACCUAGGAAAUGCAUGUAGACAGAGAAGAGGAUCAAGGACUGAGGCCCGAGCCAGUCAACAUUUAGAGGGUGAGCAGUGGACAAAGUGCCAGAGAGACACGGUGGGAAUGGCAGAGGAGGCGGCAAAGCCCGCAGUGAUGUUAGGGAAGCCAGGAGCACGAAGUUGGAGGAAGAUCAGCUGCUGAAGACAGGAGAGCCACCAUUGGGCUGGCAACAUGGAAGUGACUUCCAAGAGCAUCUUCAGUGGAGCCGCGGGAUGGAUAUCAGCCUGGAGAGGACUGAAGGGUGUCUGGGAGCUGAGGGAGCAGGGGCACUGAGUGCAGGCCAACUGGUGAAGAAGUUCAGACAUGAAGGGCAGCCGCUGAAGGGAAGGUUACACAGUCUCUGAGAGAAGAGGAAACAUGUUUGUCCAAUACAUAUGCAAAGGGAUAGCCAGCUUCGUUAGCGAUCAGGCAAAUGCAGGCUAAGGUACGAGACACCAUUUUACAUCCAUUCCAUUGGGGACAUUUUUUAAGUCUGACAAUACCAAGUGUUGGGGAAAAUGUCGAUCCACCCAGUCUCUUAUACACUGCUGGUGGGAUUGUCAUCAGUGCAACCAUUUUGGGAAACAGUCUGGCACUAUCUCAUGAAGCUGAACAUUCACAGACCCUAUGCCCAGCCAUUCCACUUCUCGCUCAUGUGUCGCAGAGACAUGAACAAGAACAUUCACAGCGGCAGUAGUCACAGUAGCAAAAACCUAGAAACAGUCCAAAUGCCUUGAAAGGAGAGUGGACGAAUAAACUGCAGCCUAUUCACCAACAGUGUUACAGAAGUCAAAGGAAGGAGCCUUAGAGACACGCAGCAGGGCUGAUGAAUCUUAGAUUGUGAUACUAAGUUUUUUAAAAAGUCCAAAAAGUUUACAUACAUCUAAACACCCUUUUUGUAAAGUAAAAAACAAGUAAAAUAAAUUAUAAAUACAUUUUAGGAAUAGAUUUGGAUGUGAUAAAAACUAUAUGAAAGAAGACAUACAAAUGGUCAACAGGCACAUGAAAAGAUGCUUCUUAACAUCGCUAAUCAUAAGAGAAACGCAAAUCAAAACCACACUGAGAUAAUCACUUCACACCUGUUAGGAUGGCUAUUAUCAGAAAAACAAGCAACAAUAUGUGUUGGCAAGGUUGUGGAAGAUUGGACCCUCUUACUCUGUCGGUGAGAGUGCAAAAUGGUGCAGCUGCUAUGGAAAAUAGCAUGGAGGUUCCUCGAAAAAUUAAAAAUAGAACUACCAUAUGAUCCAGCAAUCCCACUUCUGGGUAUUUAUUCAAAAGAGUUGAAAACAAGAUCUCUGAGAGAUAUUAGUGCUCCCGUGUUCAUUGCAGCACUGUUCACAAUUGCCAAGAUAGGGAAACAAAUGUCCAUCAAUGGAUGAAUGGAUAAAGGAGAUAUGGUAUAAACAUA